UGAGGAAAUAGCCUGAGUGCAUUGGU
rnacentral:piRNA from 1 species